AGUGAACGCUGGCGGUAGGCCUAACGCAUGCAAGUCGAACGGCAGCACAGUAAGAGCUUGCUCUUACGGGUGGCGAGUGGCGGACGGGUGAGGAAUACAUCGGAAUCUACUUUUUCGUGGGAGAUAACGUAGGGAAACUUACGCUAAUACCGCAUACGACCUACGGGUGAAAGCAGGGGAUCUUCGGACCUUGCGCGAUUGAAUGAGCCGAUGUCGGAUUAGCUAGUUGGCGGGGUAAAGGCCCACCAAGGCGACGAUCCGUAGCUGGUCUGAGAGGAUGAUAAGCCACACUGGAACUGAGACACGGUCCAGACUCCUACGGGAGGCAGCAGUGGGGAAUAUUGGACAAUGGGCGCAAGCAUGAUCCAGCCAUACCGCGUGGGUGAAGAAGGCCUUCGGGUUGUAAAGCCCUUUUGUUGGGAAAGAAAAGCAGCAGGUUAAUACCACGCUGUUCUGACGGUACCCAAAGAAUAAGCACCGGCUAACUUCGUG
rnacentral:rRNA from 1 species